rnacentral:tRNA from 2 species
GCGGGAGUAGUUCAAUGGUAGAACCUUAGCCUUCCAAGCUAAUGGUGCGGGUUCGAUUCCCGUCUCCCGCUCCA